UGGCUCAGAGGUUAAAGCGCCUGUCUCCAAUGCAGGAGACCCAGGUUCGAUCCCUGG
rnacentral:tRNA from 1 species